rnacentral:misc_RNA from 1 species
UUGAGUUGAGUUGAGUUGAGUUGGGUUCCAAAUGGGAUUCGAACUCAAGACCUUACAACCCUAGAAGUGACUGUAGUACCCACUGAGCUAAAGCUCAUUGGUUUUCAUCAAUUGUUUUUAAUGUAUGCAAAUUUAUAUUAUGGGACAACCACCACCAAAGACCAAAAAAUUAUGGAUAACAAACAGUAAAAGUUCUGGUUUUUCUAGGUCCUAUGUGCUUAGUUAAUGAUAUAAUGCUCCUUUGCUUUGAAAUAGUUUCCAAUAAG